AAAACUGUAACAAUCAUUUAUCAUGUUCAUCCUCAAAAAAUUCACCGAUCAAUCAAACAAACCAUAGGG
rnacentral:tRNA from 1 species